CCUGCCGGACCUGACUGCUAUCGGAUUGAUACUAAGCCAUGCGAGUCUUUGUAGUAAUACAAGGCAGACGGCUCAGUAACACGUAGUCAACCUACCCUAUGGACAAGAAUAAUCUCGGGAAACUGGGCAUAAUUCUUGAUAGAUCAUAAUGCCUGGAAUGGUUUAUGGUUAAAAUGAUUCGUCGCCAUAGGAUGGGACUGCGGCCUAUCAGCUUGUUGGUGAGGUAAUGGCCCACCAAGGCGAUUACAGGUACGGGCUCUGAGAGGAGAAGCCCGGAGAUGGGUACUGAGACACGGACCCAGGCCCUAUGGGGCGCAGCAGGCGAGAAAACUUUGCAAUGUGCGAAAGCACGACAAGGUUAAUCCGAGUGAUUUCUGCUAAAGAAAUCUUUUGCCAGUCAUAAAACCACUGGUGAAUAAGGGGUGGGCAAGUUCUGGUGUCAGCCGCCGCGGUAAAACCAGCACCUCAAGUGGUCAGGAUGAUUAUUGGGCCUAAAGCAUCCGUAGCCGGCUUUGUAAGUUUUCGGUUAAAUCCAUGUGCUCAACGCAUGGGCUGCCGAAAAUACUGCAUGGCUAGGGAGUGGGAGAGGUAGACGGUACUCAGUAGGAAGGGGUAAAAUCCUUUGAUCUAUUGAUGACCACCUGUGGCGAAGGCGGUCUACCAGAACACGUUCGACGGUGAGGGAUGAAAGCUGGGGGAGCAAACCGGAUUAGAUACCCGGGUAGUCCCAGCUGUAAACGAUGCAGACUCGAUGAUGCAUUGGCAUAAUAGCCAUUGCAGUGUCGCAGGGAAGCCGUUAAGUCUGCCGCCUGGGAAGUACGUACGCAAGUAUGAAACUUAAAGGAAUUGGCGGGGGAGCACCAC
rnacentral:rRNA from 1 species